rnacentral:tRNA from 1 species
AUAGCUCAGGGGUAGAGCACAACCUUGCCAAGGUUGGGGUCGCGAGUUCGAAUCUCGUU